rnacentral:rRNA from 1 species
AUAUAGAGGAAACGUGCAGAAAUGUACGCCCCGCAAGGUCUCUAUACAGGUGGUGCAUGGUUGUCGUCAGCUCGUGUCGUCAGAUGUUGGGUUAAGUCCCGCAACGAGCGCAACCCUCAUCCUAUGUUGCCAGCACGUAAUGGUGGGAACUCAUGGGAGACUGCCGGGGUCAACUCGGAGGAAGGUGGGGAUGACGUCAAAUCAUCAUGCCCCUUAUGUCUUGGGCUUCACGCAUGCUACAAUGGCCAGUACGAAGGGCUGCAAUACCGUAAGGUGGAGCGAAUCCCAAAAAGCUGGUCUCAGUUCGGAUUGAGGUCUGCAACUCGACCUCAUGAAGUCGGAGUCGCUAGUAAUCGCAGAUCAGCAACGCUGCGGUGAAUACGUUCCCGGGCAUUGUACACACCGCCCGUCAAGUCACGA